GUCACACACAGACAUGCUUCCCCCAUUCUCUGAUAACACCAUAUCAAAUCACUAACAAACACGUCUCCAGUCUUCAAAAUAAUUUAGUUAUUAGAAAAGUGAUUGGACAAACCGGUAAAGAUUUUUUUUUUCCCACCAACAAAAAGCAAAUCAGAACAGAGUUAGUCUUUUUCUCCAGUUUACCCAGCCUUCAGAGCUCCAACUGCAGUCCCAUCAUAAUCAUUUUAGACUCCAAAGCAGUGACAGCAUUGGAUGCAUAAUUUUCAACACAUGUUUUAUUAAUCCAUUCUUCCUGUGCUUCAUUUAAAAUACUGGAAACUAUAAAAAGAUAAGCGUGUUACUCCUCUGCCAGGAAAAAGGGAAGAAAAAAAAAAAAAACUAACCAGAAAAUAUGAAAAAAAAAAAAAGAAAGAAAGAAAGAAACCAAAAAACCAGAGCAACUGGAAUCUCGGUCUUGAGGAAACACAUGGGAUUGAAGCAUCCGCUGGAGCUCUGUCACCGACUGUCAUCUGUGACUCUGGCGCUGAAGCCUCCAGGCCGGAGCGAGGAGGCUGUGCGUGCAAGCCGGGCUCCAUAGUCCACUGGUGAAAUUCUUCCAAAAGCUUGUUGGAACAAAUCCCGAACAGCGUCCGUCCACGGUGACUUAGAGAUGACCUCCACUCAGAGUUUUACGUCGAAUAAAACAACGUACCUAUUGAGUGCUGCUGCUGCUGCUAAGUCACUUCAGUUGCGUCUGACUCUGCGACCGCAGAGACAGCAGCCCACCAGGCUCCCCUGUCCCUGGAAUUCUCCAGGCAGAUUCUACCUUCCGAGCCACCAGAAGUGAAGUGAAGUGAAGUCGCUCAGUCAUGUCUGACUCCUUGAGACCCCAUGGACUGUAGCCCACCAGGCUCCACCAUCCAUGGGAUUUUCCAGGCAAGAGUGCUGGAGUGGGUUGCCAUUUCCUUCUCCACUGAGCCACCAGGGCAGCCCCC
ensembl:lncRNA